rnacentral:rRNA from 1 species
AUUGAACGCUGGCGGAAUGCUUUACACAUGCAAGUCGAACGGUAACAGGUCUUCGGAUGCUGACGAGUGGCGAACGGGUGAGUAAUAUAUCGGAACGCGCCCAGUCGUGGGGGAUAACGUAGCGAAAGUUACGCUAAUACCGCAUACGAUCUACGGAUGAAAGCGGGGGAUCGCAAGACCUCGCGCGAUUGGAGCGGCCGAUAUCAGAUUAGGUAGUUGGUGGGGUAAAGGCUCACCAAGCCAACGAUCUGUAGCUGGUCUGAGAGGAUGAUCAGCCACACUGGGACUGAGACACGGCCCAGACUCCUACGGGAGGCAGCAGUGGGGAAUAUUGGACAAUGGGCGAAAGCCUGAUCCAGCAAUGCCGCGUGAGUGAUGAAGGCCUUAGGGUUGUAAAGCUCUUUUACCAGGGAUGAUAAUGACAGUACCUGGAGAAUAAGCUCCGGCUAACUCCGUGCCAGCAGCCGCGGU